GAUGAACGCUAGCGGCAGGCCUAAUACAUGCAAGCCGAACGGCAAGUUGAGUAGCAAUACUUGACCUAGAGUGGCGUAAGGGUGCGUAACACGUAUGCAAUCUACCCGCAACAGGAGGAUAGCUCUCCGAAAGGGGAAUUAAGCCUCCAUGGGAUCAUGGGGUGCAUCACUCCAUGAUUAAACUACCAGGGGUUGUGGAUGAGCAUGCGCANGAUUAGUUAGUUGGCGGGGUAACGCCCACAAGACGAUGAUCAUUAGGGGAACUGAGAGGUUGAUCCCCCANACUGGCACUGAGAUACGGGCCAGACUCCUACGGGAGGCAGCAGUAGGGAAUAUUGGACAAUGGGUGGAAGCCUGAUCCAGCCAUGCCGCGUGC
rnacentral:rRNA from 1 species